GGCAGCGGGAGAGAAACUUGUUGUAAAUCAAAGUCUGUACAACUUAAAAGCUGAAUUCAUUUAUUUUUCUGCCACUUGGUGAGAACAGAACAAGCUGUAAUCACAACGUGUUAAAACAUUAUAGUUACUUUGGCAAGAACAUCGGUGUAGUGGCCUAGUUUUUGCAUCCAGGAGAGCAAAUUAAUGUUAAUUGAGAUUUGGGAUUCGGUCCACCUGACCAAUGUCCAAUAUUUACUUUCCUUUAACUCUGAGGGACUAAUCUGACUCUUUAACCUCUUAAUGGAAAAAAGUAAAAGAUGUUGUGAGACUCGAUGCAGCUGCACAUCUGUGUGUUUAGGUCUCUAGAGGAGAUCACAUUCAAAGUGCACCUCGUCAUAUGAAGACAUUGAUGCAACUCUAGAGACCAUAAAUAAAUCCACCAUCAGUUUUUCUGCCCAGAUAAACAACUUUAUCGAUUACCUCGAAUGAGGCAUUAGUUUAUUAGUCAUGUAGUCAAUAGUCAAUUUUACAAUACUCAACUGAUUUCACGAAUUUUUUUGGAGGGGGUUGGGGAAUGACCCAAGGAAGAACCCAUUAAGUUUUGGUGCAGAUCCAGGUAUUUCUUAACGUUGUGACAAAGCUGCAAUUUUCAAAACUACCGUUGAUUUCUCAUUUUUCUAUUUGUGGAUCUUGAUGAUGAUGUGUGUGCAAUUUGGUACGGAUCCAUAUAAAGGUUGGGACCUAUUGAAUUUAAAUGUGGUUUCAUGAGAGCACUCCUUGGCAGAGGAAAGUACUCUUAUGAGCCACAUCUUAGUUCAACCAAUACAUUUUUCUGUGACCAUUGUUUCCACCUUCAAGAGCAUUUGGACCCGCUAUAUAAAAACCUGCUGGCCAAUUCAAAUGUUCUCUCCUUUGUACUCAAAUCAUGGAGAAUAACGUUUAACUCAGUUGACUUGCUCGGCUGUUUUCUGCCUCUGACAUCUGGCGACGCAAGAAAAUCGCAGGGAGACAAGUCAGGGUGGAAAUCUGUGAGUCUUGAGAAAGGAUCGGAAUCGGCAGGAGGAAUGCAACACAAUAGUCAGCAGUAUAAUACAAAUUAAACCAAAUGUGCACGGCUUCAUCACUGUCAGUCUCCCAUUAUGUUGGGAGAAUUACUGUGGGUUGAGCUGUGCAGUACCCGCUCCUCUCCUCCGCAUCUCUGCUCUUCUUCCUCUACCUCCCUGCUGAUUUCACACCGAGUCCUGUCACUCUACAGCUGCUUCCAAUUCAGAGCCAGAGGACGGAGCCAGCAGGAACAUUACAGAACCGAAUUACAGCCCUGUGUUGCAUCUGUGAGGCAGAAAUCAAACCCCCUCUCAUCUGGACCGGCCUGGAGGGGGGAUGGCCUCUGUCAUUUGUGAAGGAUUGGGGGGGUGUAGAGAGGGGUCUCGGGAAGUUGGUGGUUCAGGUUACAGUGGGCCACCAGCCCGGACUGGGAGGCUGCUGCUGAUCAAAACCUGUUGGGUGGAGAUGCAGAGGAGCGGCUGUGUCUCAGAUUCAGCUGCAGGAGGCCGAGGGGAGGAGGAGCAGAGAGGAGCUAGCCAACACUGCCAUCUAGUGCUUCACAGGCACCCUCACAAUAAAGCACAUUGAACGACCUCUGUGUGUGAAAUCGCGGACAAUACGAAUACAUCAGCCUUGCCUGAGGAGCAGCACUCAGGGCUUUGCAGGAGGUUCUGGCUGAGAAGAGGCGUCUCCUUCCAUCACACGGUCAGAUGCCACUGUCUUGACUGUGUUCUCUACCUCAGCCACAUCCUGUCGUUCUUGCUGGUAGAAGACUCUCUGCUGUGCCACCUCCUGGUAGCCGCUCUUCAGAC